GUGCUUCGAUUUGUUGAAUAUGAUUAGCUUAACAUAUGUAAAUGUGUUGAGUAAUGGUGAAUUGAAGCUAUAGAAAAUGAUCCCCUCGCUAUCCGGUGAUUUGAUUUAGAUGGAUCAUUUGGACGUUGGGGAACUAUAUUU